GUGCUUGCUUAAGCAAUACAUUUGCAAAAAUUGGAACAAUUCAGAUUAGCUUUGGCUCUGUGCAAAGAUGAUAUGUAAAUUAGUGAAGCAUUUCAUUAUUAU
ensembl:snRNA U6 U6 spliceosomal RNA